UUUCUUAUUGAUGUUAAUGGUUAAAUUCAGACUUGAUAACUAAAGAUGGUUUCUCCUAAUUUUUUUAUGUGCAAAUCGGAGAUGGUUUGAAGAAUGAUGAAGGAUACUCAAUAUUGCUUAAGGUUUUCUUUCUAUCAUCAGCACCACAAUCCAUAAGUGAAGACCGAGAGAAUGAUCAAUGGUUUGAACUAUGAAUUAUGUAAUUCGGACUUUGGGAAUAUAUUAGGGUUUAUAUA